GAAGUAACAGUAAAGCAGAAUGGCUACAGACAAUUAGUUCAGAAUUGAAGAAGAGAUGCAGGUCUUUGUUCUAUAUAAUGGUGUAUGAGGGAACCAUGGUGGAAAUUUGGAUUUCAUGGCAGUCAUGGAAAUAUCUAAUAAGUCUGUAGGAAAGUGAUGUGUGUACCAGUCUGUCAGACUUUUACCUGUCUGUCCAGUCGACAAAUUCGCAAUAGAUGCGUAGAUUCUCAAAUAAUUUGGCAGAGUUUUCACAGUUACUAAGACAGAUUGCAAAAGAUUUUUGGACUAAAUUCCUGUGCGGAUAGAUUAAAAAACUACUCCAGACUGGUAGACAUGACAGAUGUUUAUUGGAAAUAUGAACAUGGACUUAAAACUUUGAUGUGUAGCAAAAAAAAUCAUCGUUGAUGAUAGUGAUUUUCUAAGCUAUAUUGACUGGAACAGGGUUGUUCUUUAGAAAUACAGAGCUGUCAAUGCUGCAGUUUUGUUGUGAAAGUCACAGUCCAUGUCAGAAGGUGCUUGUUUUACUAUACAGCAAAGACGAAGAAAUUGUACUGGGCCGACACCUAUAUGGGAAAUAGUUAAUUUUGAAUAUCUCAGCAACCAAAGGGUUUACAGCAAUGGAACUUCACACACUAGUAGCUGAUAACAAUAGAAACCAGUGGCUAAAAGGAUUUUAUCAAGGUGAUGAAUUUCAUGCAUUGGUAGAAACUUAGAAUGGUACCACCAGUCACCAACACUCCCUAGACCAGAGCAAACUAUUGAGUCGUGUGAACAGAAGCUGCUGUUUCCAGCGUAGCACUGUAUAGUAGCUGCUCUUAUUGCCGAUCCGGCUGUCGUGGUCAAAGCUCAGGUUUCUUUGGGAAGCCCCUAUCCACCUGGUCUUCAUUUACAGUUGAACUACAUCCAGGAUUGGUUGCAGCCUUAGAAGGAAGAAGGUAAGCAGAUGUCGGUCGGUAGGUCGGUCGGUCAGUCGAAAUGUAGACCAAUC
rnacentral:lncRNA from 1 species